CCCUCCGACGGGAGGCAGCAGGGGAUAUUGCGCAAUGGGUGAAAGCCUGACGCAGCAACGCCGCGUGGGGGAUGAAGGCUUUCGGGUUGUAAACCCCUUUUCUCGGGGAAGAUAGUGACGGUACCCGAGGAAUAAGUCUCGGCUAACUACGUGCCAGCAGCCGCGGUAAGACGUAGGAGGCGAGCGUUAUCCGGAAUUAUUGGGCGUAAAGGGCGUGUAGGCGGCCUUCCAAGUCUUUGGUGAAAUCUCCCAGCUCAACUGGGAGGGUGUCAAAGAAACUGGAGGGCUUGAGGGCAGCAGAGGGGGGUGGAAUUCCCGGUGUAGCCCCGUCAAUUCAUUUGAGUUGAGCAACACCAGAGGAGAAGGCGGCCCCCUGGGCUGUUCCUGACGCUGAGUCUUGAAAGCGUGGGGCGCAACCUGCAGUCGCUACCCUGGUAGUCCACCCCACAAACGAUACUUUUUAUCGGGGGGUAUGGACCCCCUCCG
rnacentral:rRNA from 1 species